rnacentral:rRNA from 1 species
AACGAACGCUGGCGGCAUGCCUAACACAUGCAAGUCGAACGAGACCUUCGGGUCUAGUGGCGCACGGGUGCGUAACGCGUGGGAAUCUGCCCUUAGGUUCGGAAUAACUUCGGGAAACUGAAGCUAAUACCGGAUGAUGACGUAAGUCCAAAGAUUUAUCGCCUAAGGACGAGCCCGCGUAGGAUUAGCUAGUUGGUGAGGUAAAAGCUCACCAAGGCGACGAUCCUUAGCUGGUCUGAGAGGAUGAUCAGCCACACUGGGACUGAGACACGGCCCAGACUCCUACGGGAGGCAGCAGUGGGGAAUAUUGGACAAUGGGCGAAAGCCUGAUCCAGCAAUGCCGCGUGAGUGAUGAA